AUCUAAACGCUGUCUCUUUUAUUAUUGUUUUGUUUUACAGAUUUAGAAAAAGGCACAGUGCUAGAGUGAUUUAUCUGAAACAGUGGACGAGGGCUGGAGAAGAAAUACACUUACGCCAAUUAUUUUAAAAAUGACUGAUUAAUAAUCUAAUGAGAUUGAGGGCUUCACACUAGAGCUGGUCUUGAAACAAGAUGCAGAAAGCUGUGAUGUUCCACCCACUGCAUUGCAGUUGUGAUUGAGAAAUAGCCUGCAAAAUACAUGGGACUCCCAGAAGAUCUGA